rnacentral:rRNA from 1 species
CCUACGGGCGGCAGCAGUGGGGAAUAUUGCACAAUGGGGGAAACCCUGAUGCAGCGACGCCGCGUGAGUGAGGAAGUCAUUCGUUAUGUAAAGCUCUAUCAGCAGGGAAGAAAAUGACGGUACCUGAGUAAGACUCCCCGGCUAACUACGUGCCAGCAGCCGCGGUAAUACGUAGGGGGCAAGCGUUAUCCGGAUUUACUGGGUGUAAGGGGAGCGUAGACGGCAGUGCAAGUCUGGAGUGAAAGGCGGGGGCUCAACCCCCGGACUGCUCUGGAAACUGUACGGCUGGAGUGCAGGAGAGGUAAGUGGAAUUCCUAGUGUAGCGGUGAAAUGCGUAGAUAUCACGAAGAACUCCGAUUGCGAAGGCAGUUCACUGGACUGCAACUGACACUGAUGCGCGAAAGCGUGGGGAGCAAACAGGAUUAGAUACCCCAGUAGUC